CUAGUUGAGUCACUAAGAAUGGCAAAUCCUCUACAUUUUAGUCACGGCUUUUAAGGGUAUCUCAAGGAUGUAUGGCUAUGUAUCAUGAUGAACAGAAACAAAGAAAGAGGAUGGCAUUUCUUGGAGGUUCUGCUUGAAAUCUUGGAGAAAUGCAACCCUAAUAGGCCAAGCUAGCUCUAGUAAUCACAUUAGUGUUUUAUGUUCUUCGAAGGCCAGGUCAAUUUUUUGCUUAUACCAUGGCUAAAAUACAGUACAAUGAGCAGGUCUAGAAAGAUGUUUCAAGGGCAGUGUGUUGUAUAACAGCAAAGGUUUGGAAGUCUGAAGAAAUGACUGGUAAAAAGCUCCUGCCAGAUAAAUGCAGGUUUCUGCAGGUAGAGCGGCUGCUGUGCUGUUGGCUUUAAAACAGACUGAAAACCAACACAUGUGCUUCAAUCUUUGCUCAAUAGCAACGGGCUUAAAAACCACCUUAAAUUAUUUGCUCAUUUGAGGCCUGAAUGGGAGGGGAAUGUAGCAAUCAUUGCAGGGUGUUAAAAACAAAUCAACCCUUGAGUAAUUGGGCACAGCUUCCCUGAAGCAAGUAGAGUUGCACCUGCUUGGAUCAGGGCUUCAUCUGGUCUGCUGAAGCAAACAGUCCUCAUUCCAGAAGAAGUGUUUGGAGCCACAUGGGAAUACUGGGAAAUAAAAUUAGAUUGAGAAAGGACGGGCUUUCCACAAAUAACUGUGAUUAGUUCUGAAUGUUCACUCCAUCCGUGAGCAAGUCAUAUGCAGAAGAAAGAAAUUGAGAAUUGAGAGAAACCUCCUUUAAGGCUGAGGAAUGGAUUGAGUCGUUAUUAAAUUUCCAGUCAAUAGGUCUGGUCUAAAGAGAGAACUGAUGGAGAGCGUCUCUCUCCACAGCACUGAAGAGACAGGAGAGCUGAGCAGAAAUAAACGCAGGAAGAACAUCUUCUUAAAAUUGUUACUCAAGAACUACCAGUUCUGCUUGCUGAAGAAUCCCCAAGUCCUGUAGCAAGUUAGUGUUUUAGCUGCUACAUCUGUGAAGAUGUACUUUGACUGAAUACCAGGAAAACACCCAAAAUGAGGUUUUUACAUUUGUGUGGAAAGAGUGAAAGGAUGUACAGAGCAUGCAUACAUGAGAAAAAAAAUGAAUUAUUUGUAAAUAUGUGUAUUAUUACCAGCACUUUGUCUUUAUUUUGAGAAAAAAGUUGUGAAACUCAAGAUUUCACUUGAAAUGCAGAUUACUUGUCCUGUGAGGUGACAUAUUGAAAGAGACACUGCACAUUGAUGGACUAGCUUCUGAUUAUACAGAAACUAGAGAAGUCCUACAGUAUUCCGUACCUGGGGAGAAUAAGUUUGUUAUGAAGAGGUGGUGGUUCAGGAUUCCCGGUUGUUCUCUGCAAAGGCCAAGACUUUGUAUAUCUUCCAUUAGAUAAUCUUUGCUAGAGAUAGGACCAUCAUGUUCCCAUGAAUGUAAGCUCAUCUUCAAGAACAGGUUCACAGACCUGUUAACAACUGCCUAUCAGCUUCUCAGUAGAGGUUUUCUUUUCAUUAAUACUGAAAAUGACUUUGCAGUUGUCAUAUUUCUGCAACAACAAGGUACUGCACCAAUGGAGUACUGAGUUAACAGAAGAACUGAUUUAUGGACCCACAAUAUAUCUCUCAAGGUUUACUUUCACCCCCAGUUGGGGUAGGGAGUCCUUGGUUCUUCAAUGACAGUUUGAUAAGCUGUAGAAAUAUUUUCUUUAUGCAUUUUCAAUGCAAACAAAAUAUUUUGACAUUGUUGAAACAGAAGUGCCUAGUUUGGUUUCAUUGAGAUGGUCCUAACCACUUUGUUUUGUGACAAUGAAAUCUGCACUGCAGUUUUCCCUGGUGGUGAAUUACCUGCCAUGAUUUGUAGCAGGAGGUUUGAGGCUCCUCCAUUUGUCCCAAAGAACUAAGCAAUACAGUAGAAGUACAUCUCCUGCAGUGUUUCUGAGUUGUGUGAUGCCCAUAAAGGGCUGUGACAUGGUUCAGUCGGAAAUCUAUACCACGUUUGUGUUCUAAGUUAAUUCAAAUGGCUAAAUAUUGUGAGUGGGUCAAGCUGGCUUGCAAUGAGAUCCAUGGAAGUUUUUGUUGAAAAAUCUCUGCCCCUCCUGAUCAGUAUAUCCUUCUGCCCACAUAUGCUUUGGUUUUAUAGAGAUAAGAAAGUGAUUUUCCAAAAGCGAAUUCCAACACAGGUCUUUAUGAUAAAUUGCUUCACCAUCACCCUUCCUGGUAUGAGGAUGCUGAACACUUCAAGAUCUGCUAGCAAAAUAAACAGUGACUCUGUUUUCCCAAGGGAAUUAGUGGCCAGGGAAAUAAAACAAAGCAGAGGGUUUACACUCUAAAACACUGGGGAUAAAAUUCUCAGAAACAGUUAAUACCAUUACCAGAGCUUGGCCUCACAGCUCAGAGAGACAGCCCUUUGCCUCAUGACUGCACACCAGCUCUAACACCACUACAAUUGAUCAGGAAAGCAGAUUUAAAAUAUCGGUCUAAGGCUUUUCUAAUUAUCUUAAAAUAAUCGUUUAACCACUUGAAAUGAAUACAGCCACAAAGCAAACCUUCCAGACUGUUCACUGCACACCAUCAGACACAGACUAAUGACCCUAGAGAGCAAGCCAGUCCUUCUGAUGCAACAUCAUCUGCUCUCAAAGACUAAAGUGACGUGUCCUCUGCUCUCCACGUGCUCCGCGGACCGGGAAUGAAGCCACAUCACUUCUAACACAAUCCUGAAAAUGACACCUGUUCGGCACAGACACCGCAGAGGGACUUUCAGAGUCAGCCCUUCACAGCCAUGCAAUCAAAGAUCAGUUUUCAAUGAAAUAUUACUUACUUGAAUCAAUGUUGUCUUGAUUCUUCGUGAAGGGUGCAGCAGGCAUAAAAUGCGAUAUUGAUUUCUGAGAUGUAGCCUGGUUCUCUCUUCAUGGUCAUUUCAAAAAAUGCAAAGUAUUUCUUUUCUUCCACAGCACAGAUCACGUCACCUUUACAAACUGGAGGUCAAGGGCCUUUUAUGUUGCCUCAUAUAUAUCUCCUGUCUUUUUUUUCUCGUCCUCCUCCCUUCAUCUUGCAGUUUUUCUUUCUCCUCCUUGAGUUUUUAUUGCCUCUUCGGCUCUCCUCUUAGCUCCUGUUCUAAUUUCUGCCUUUUCCCUUGCUCUCCUGAGUGCUUUUAGAUUCUGAUCUAAUUUCUCAUGUCUUCUCCCAGUGCUGCUCUCUCUCCUUUCUAUCUUUCUGACCCUCACCUCUUCUCCUUUCUGCACGUCUGACUCCAACUCCACUGCUCUCCUUACGAGACACUGGCUCUGGAUUUUCCUCCCUCUCAUUCCCCACAUUGCUCUUGGGCUGCUUUUAGCAGUCAUUUCAAUAAAGUUUUCCCUGCUGUAUGCACAAA